rnacentral:rRNA from 1 species
UAAGGGUUCAGCCGGGCGAUGGUUGCCCCGGUCGUAAGGGACUGCAAAUGAGCGGGAAGUGAAUUUGGAAGAAGGCGAGAAAAGCUGUGUGAAUAGAAGAUAGAGCCCGUACCGCAAACCGACACAGGUAGAUAGGAAGAAGAUUCUAAGGCCAACGGGAGAAGGGUUGUUAAGGAACUCGGCAAGUUGACCCCGUAACUUAGGGAGAAGGGGUGCUCUUUAAGGAGAGCCGCAGAGAAUAGGCCCAAGCGACUGUUUAGCAAAAACACAGCUCUAUGCUAAAUCGAAAGAUGACGUAUAUGGGGUGACACCUGCCCGGUGCCGGAAGGUUAAGAGGAGGAGUGAGAGCUCUGAAUUGAAGCCCCGGUAAACGGCGGCCGUAACGAUAACGGUCCUAAGGUAGCGAAAUUCCUUGUCAGGUAAGUUCUGACCCGCACGAAUGGUGUAACGAUUUGGGCACUGUCUCAACAACCUGCCCGGCGAAAUUGUAGUACCGGUGAAGAUGCCGGUUACCCGCGACUAGACGGAAAGACCCCAUGGAGCUUUACUGCAGCUUAAUAUUGAAUUUCGGUAUUUCAUGUACAGGAUAGGUGGGAGACAGGGAACCAUAGGCGUCAGCUUAUGGGGAGUCGACCUUGGGAUACCACUCUUGAGGUGCUGGAAUUCUAACCUGUGGCUCUGAAUCGAGUCAGGGGACAUUGUUAGGCGGGCAGUUUGACUGGGGCGGUCGCCUCCAAAAAGGUAACGGAGGCGCUCAAAGGUUCGCUCAGCAUGGAUGGAAACCAUGCUUUUGAGUGUAAACGCAAAAGCGAGCCUAACUGCGAGACUGACGGGCCGAGCAGUAACGAAAGUUGGAGUUAGUGAUCCGGCGGUAUGUGAGUGGAAAUGCCGUCGCUCAACGGAUAAAAGCUACCCUGGGGAUAACAGGCUGAUCUCCCCCAAGAGUCCACAUCGACGGGGAGGUUUGGCACCUCGAUGUCGGCUCAUCGCAUCCUGGGGCUGAAUUCGGUCCCAAGGGUUUGGCUGUUCGCCAAUUAAAGCGGUACGCGAGCUGGGUUCAGAACGUCGUGAGACAGUUCGGUCCCUAUCUGUCGUGGGCGUAGGAUAUUUGAAAGGAGCUGUCCCUAGUACGAGAGGACCGGGAUGGACGCACCGCUGGUGCACCAGUUGUCAUGCCAAUGGCACAGCUGGGCAGCUAUGUGCGGAACGGAUAAACGCUGAAGGCAUCUAAGCGUGAAGCCGACCUUAAGAUAAGAUAUCCCUUCGUAAGAGUAAGACCUCUCAUAGACUAUGAGUUUGAUAGGCCUAAGGUGUAAGCACAGUGAUGUGUUCAGCCUGCAGGUACUAAUCGGUCGAGGGCUUUUCCG